GCUCAGUGGGUGGGGAAAAGUUGCUCCCCAUCACCCCCCCCCCCGCCUUGGCCUUCCCCCAGCCUACCUUGCUUGACACACUUGAGCCGGAUGGGGUCCUUGCAGUGCUUGAUGACGGCCAGCACGUCCCGGAUGGUGAGGCCGGCCACGGGGGUCUCGUUGACCUCCAGCAGCAGCUCCUCGGGCACCAGCUUGCCCCCGGCCCCGCCGCCGGCCUCGUAGAGCACCUGGCCGGGCUUGACCUCCCCCAGGCUGAAAGGAUCAUAACAUAGGCACCAAGGAAAUUACUACAGAGGGGAG
rnacentral:lncRNA from 11 species